AUUGAACGCUGGCGGCAGGCCUAACACAUGCAAGUCGAGCGAGUGGCGGACGGGUGAGUAAUGUCUGGGAAACUGCCUGAUGGAGGGGGAUAACUACUGGAAACGGUAGCUAAUACCGCAUUCCAUCGGUUGUGCCCAGAUGGGAUUAGCUAGUAGGUGGGGUAAAGGCUCACCUGGGCGACGAUCCCUAGCUGGUCUGAGAGGAUGACCAGCAACACUGGAACUGAGACACGGUCCAGACUCCUACGGGAGGCAGCAGUGGGAAAUAUUGGAAAAUGGGCGCAAGCCGGAUGCAGCAAUGCGGCGGGUGUGAAGAGGGCCUUCGGGUGGUAAGGCACGUUCAGCGAGGAGGCGGUACUCGCAGAAGAAGCACAGGCUAACUCCGUGCCAGCAGCCGCGGUAAUAC
rnacentral:rRNA from 1 species